AGUGAACGCUGGCGGUAGGCCUAACACAUGCAAGUCGAACGGCAGCACAGUAAGAGCUUGCUCUUACGGGUGGCGAGUGGCGGACGGGUGAGGAAUACAUCGGAAUCUACUUUUUCGUGGGGGAUAACGUAGGGAAACUUACGCUAAUACCGCAUACGACCCACGGGUGAAAGCAGUGGAUCUUCGCACCUUGCGGGAUUGAAUGAGCCGAUGUCGGAUUGGCUGGUUGGGGGGGUAAAGGCCCACCAAGGCGAGGAUCCGUAGCUGGUCUGAGAGGAGGAUAGCCCGCCCUGGAACUGGGACACGGUCCAGACUCCUACGGGAGGCAGCAGUGGGGAAUAUUGGGCAAUGGGCGCAAGCCUGAUCCAGCCAUCCCGCGUGGGUGAAGAAGGCCUUCGGGUUGUAAAGCCCUUUUGUUGGGAAAGAAAAGCAGCAGGUUAAUACCCCGCUGUUCUGACGGUACCGAAAGAAUAAGCACCGGCUAACUUCGUG
rnacentral:rRNA from 1 species